UGAUCCUGCCGGAAGCCAAUGCUAUGGGGUCCGACUAAGCCAUGCGAGUCAUGGGGCGCGCUCUGCGCGCACCGGCGGACGGCUCAGUAACACGUCGGUAACCUACCCUCGGGAGGGGGAUAACCCCGGGAAACUGGGGCUAAUCCCCCAUAGGCCUGAGGUACUGGAAGGUCCUCAGGCCGAAAGGGGCUUUGCCCGCCCGAGGAUGGGCCGGCGGCCGAUUAGGUAGUUGGUGGGGUAACGGCCCACCAAGCCGAAGAUCGGUACGGGCCAUGAGAGUGGGAGCCCGGAGAUGGACACUGAGACACGGGUCCAGGCCCUACGGGGCGCAGCAGGCGCGAAACCUCCGCAAUGCGGGCAACCGCGACGGGGGGACCCCCAGUGCCGUGGCAUCGCCACGGCUUUUCCGGAGUGUAAAAAGCUCCGGGAAUAAGGGCUGGGCAAGGCCGGUGGCAGCCGCCGCGGUAAUACCGGCGGCCCGAGUGGUGGCCGCUAUUAUUGGGCCUAAAGCGUCCGUAGCCGGGCCCGUAAGUCCCUGGCGAAAUCCCACGGCUCAACCGUGGGGCUUGCUGGGGAUACUGCGGGCCUUGGGACCGGGAGAGGCCGGGGGUACCCCUGGGGUAGGGGUGAAAUCCUAUAAUCCCAGGGGGACCGCCAGUGGCGAAGGCGCCCGGCUGGAACGGGUCCGACGGUGAGGGACGAAGGCCAGGGGAGCGAACCGGAUUAGAUACCCGGGUAGUCCUGGCUGUAAAGGAUGCGGGCUAGGUGUCGGGCGAGCUUCGAGCUCGCCCGGUGCCGAAGGGAAGCCGUUAAGCCCGCCGCCUGGGGAGUACGGCCGCAAGGCUGAAACUUAUAAGGAAUUGGCGGGGGA
rnacentral:rRNA from 1 species